UCCCUUAUAAAGGGUGUCCGUUAAAAUUGGAACGAUACAGACAAGAUUAGCAUAGCCCCUACGCAAGGAUGACACGCACAACUUAAGACCAUGACACAUGCAU